rnacentral:lncRNA from 1 species
CGAGGCGGCGGCGGCGGCGGGCGAAGGAGGCGGGGCCGGGCGGAGCAUGCGGGGAGGGAGGAGAGAGUGCGGGGAGAGAGAGAGUGCGGGGAGGCGAGGGGCGCGUGCCUAGGGUGCUGUGCGAGGGGAGGGGUAUGGAGUGUCCAGGAUCACUUUUAGCCCCUUUUAGGGCCUCUUUGGGGGCUAAAAUUUAGCUCCAAAAUUUUAGCUAUUUGUCACUUUUAGCCCUCCUGUUUGGAUCCCAAGAACUAAAUUUUGAGCUAAAAGUGCAAGACUAAAAUUUAGCUCAUGGAUCCAAACAGGCCCUAAUAGUUUCUGCACAUUUAUGCCGUGCGUGCAUCUGCGGCCAGGCAGACCAAUUUUAGUUACUACUCCAAUC